rnacentral:rRNA from 1 species
GAUGAACGCUGGCGGCGUGCCUAAUACAUGCAAGUCGAGCGAACGGACGAGAAGCUUGCUUCUCUGAUGUUAGCGGCGGACGGGUGAGUAACACGUGGAUAACCUACCUAUAAGACUGGGAUAACUUCGGGAAACCGGAGCUAAUACCGGAUGAUAUUUUGAACCGCAUGGUUCAAAAGUGAAAGACGGUCUUGCUGUCACUUAUAGAUGGAUCCGCGCUGCAUUAGCUAGUUGGUAAGGUAACAGCUUACCAAGGCAACGAUGCAUAGCCGACCUGAGAGGGUGUUCCGACACACUGGAUCUGCGACACGCUCCAGACUCCUACGGACGGCAGCAGUAGGGAAUCUUCCGCAAUGGUCGAAGGCCUGACGGGGCAACGCCGCGUGAGUGAUGAAGGUCUUCCGAUCCUAAAACUCUGCUAUUAGGGAAGAACAUAUGUGUAAGUAACUGUGCACAUCUUGACGGUACCUAAUCAGAAAGCCACGGCUAACUACGUG